rnacentral:rRNA from 1 species
CUAUACAUGACUCUGCGCAUAUCAAUAAGCGGAGGAAAAGUAAAUGUUGUAUACCUACGCUUAGGAUGUUGACACACGCGCGUGCUCGAUCUAUACAUGACUCUGCGCAUAUCAAUAAGCGGAGGAAAAGAAACUAACAAGGAUUCCCUUAGUAACGGCGAGUGAAGCGGGAAGAGCUCAAAUUUGAAAUCUUCAAGGUUUUACCUUGACGAAUUGUAGUUUAAAGAAGUGUUUUCUGCUGAAGUUUUGGUAAAAGUUCUUUGGAAUAGGACAUCAUAGAGGGUGAGAAUCCCGUAUUUGACCAUUACUUUUCAGCUUUGUGAUACACUUUCAAAGAGUCGGAUUGUUUGGGAAUGCAGUCCAAAAUGGGUGGUAAAUUUCAUCUAAAGCUAAAUAUUGGCGAGAGACCGAUAGCGAACAAGUACCGUGAGGGAAAGAUGAAAAGAACUUUGAAAAGAGAGUUAAACAGUACGUGAAAUUGUCAAAAGGGAAGCGUUUGACACCAGUGUUGUUUUCUCGAAAAUCAAUUAAAAAUGGCUCGAUUUUGUAUUGUUGAGACCUUAAAAGCUCACUGUACAUUUUUCGUGUCUUUUUAAUGCACUUUUCGUUUAACAAGUCAACAUCAGUUUCUUUUGUUGUAAAAGGGUCAUUGGAAGGUGGCUUUCGUUUCGGAGAAAGUGUUUAUAGCCUUUGGCCUCUGCAAUCGGAGAGACUGAGGUCUGCAGCGUAGACUCUUCGGGGCUAGAUACAUUUGUGCCUAAGUUAUAGCUUUUUAUAGACAACUUGUCGACUAUAAUUAGUCUUGUAGCUUACUCGCUUAUGCUAUUUUACCUACGCUUAGGAUGUUGAAGAUGUAGCACAUCAU